GUUGCUUGAAUUAAACAGAACUGUUUAUUGAUUUUUUAUGAUGAGAGCUGCCAGGCCCUUGAUGAACUUCCGAGGAAUAAGCCAGUUGUGAGAGAGAAGAGUUGGACCCCCUGCAGAGCCCCUGCAAUUUAAGAGGAUAAUUUGACAUCAGUUCCAGGCUGCAGGCUGAGAGUGGAAGACGGAGAAAGGCUGUGAGUGUGGAAAUGGUCUCCUGUUGACCUGUUAAGCCAGCUGUCCUCCUGCCUCAGAGAGAAUGUGAAGGCUGCAGCCUCUGCCAUGUUUCUGUAAUCCAUCACGAGAUGCCUGACCUAUUACAAUGUGAUAUGUACCUUCCACGUGAGAUCCGAUGAGCAGUCAUGGGCCGUGAUGAGAAGAGGAAUAGACUGGAAAGAGUCGACUCGACUGAGUGCCAGCCACUUCCAACCAAUCCUGAUCUCCUUUCUGUAUAUCAAGUUGCAGGCCUACAGUCAUGCCAAGCUAAAUGGAAUGAGAGUCGGGUUGCAGGGAAAAUUUCAGCUGGAAUGAAUUUGGGGAACAGGUCAAGAAAUGUAAUGGAAGAAAUGCUUCACUGAACGCACUGUGCUGAUUCUGUAUGGUGUAUAUUCUGUUCUUUUGAGAGUUCCAAGUACAUAAAAACUUUGUUUCCUUCAGAGAAUUUCAAGUACAUUAAAACUGUAUUAGGAUCCCUUCCUUGUA